rnacentral:rRNA from 1 species
AAUAGAUACCCUGGUAGUCCACGCCCUAAACUAUGUCGACUGGUUGUUGGGGGAGUCUGUCCCUCAGUAACGUAGCUAACGCGUGAAGUCGACCGCCUGGGGAGUACGGUCGCAAGAUUAAAACUCAAAGGAAUUGACGGGGACCCGCACAAGCGGUGGAUUAUGUGGAUUAAUUCGAUGCAACGCGAAGAACCUUACCUACCCUUGACAUGCCAGGAACCUCGCAGAGAUGUGAGGGUGCCCGAAAGGGAACCUGGACACAGGUGCUGCAUGGCUGUCGUCAGCUCGUGUCGUGAGAUGUUGGGUUAAGUCCCGCAACGAGCGCAACCCUUGCCAUUAGUUGCUACAUUCAGUUGGGCACUCUAAUGGGACUGCCGGUGACAAACCGGAGGAAGGUGGGGAUGACGUCAAGUCCUCAUGGCCCUUAUGGGUAGGGCUUCACACGUAAUACAAUGGCGCAUACAGAGGGCUGCAAACCCGCGAGGGGGAGCCAAUCCCAAAAAGUGCGUCGUAGUCCGGAUUGUUCUCUGCAA